GAUGAACGCUGGCGGCGUGCCUAAUACAUGCAAGUCGAGCGAAUGGAUUAAGAGCUUGCUCUUAUGAAGUUAGCGGCGGACGGGUGAGUAACACGUGGGUAACCUGCCCAUAAGACUGGGAUAACUCCGGGAAACCGGGGCUAAUACCGGAUAACAUUUUGAACCGCAUGGUUCGAAAUUGAAAGGCGGCUUCGGCUGUCACUUAUGGAUGGACCCGCGUCGCAUUAGCUAGUUGGUGAGGUAACGGCUCACCAAGGCAACGAUGCGUAGCCGACCUGAGAGGGUGAUCGGCCACACUGGGACUGAGACACGGCCCAGACUCCUACGGGAGGCAGCAGUAGGGAAUCUUCCGCAAUGGACGAAAGUCUGACGGAGCAACGCCGCGUGAGUGAUGAAGGCUUUCGGGUCGUAAAACUCUGUUGUUAGGGAAGAACAAGUGCUAGUUGAAUAAGCUGGCACCUUGACGGUACCUAACCAGAAAGCCACGGCUAACUACGU
rnacentral:rRNA from 1 species